AUUGAACGCUGGCGGCAGGCUUAACACAUGCAAGUCGAGCGAGCGGCGGUCGGGUGAGUAAUGUCUGGGAAACUGCCUGAUGGAGGGGGAUAACUACUGGAAACGGUAGCUAAUACCGCAUACCAUCAGAUGUGCCCAGAUGGGAUUAGCUAGUAGGUGGGGUAAUGGCUCACCUAGGCGACGAUCUCUAGCUGGUCUGAGAGGAUGACCAGCAACACGGGGACUGAGACACGGCCCAGACGCCUACGGGAGGCAGCAGUGGGGAAUAUUGCGAAAGGGGGGCAAGCCUGACGCAGCCAUGCCGCGUGAAUGAAGAAGGCCUUCGGGUUGUAAAGUUCUUUCGGUAGCGAGGCGUUAACAACAGAAGAAGCACCGGCUAACUCCGUGCCAGCAGCCGCGGUAAUAC
rnacentral:rRNA from 1 species